GGUUGCUAAGAGACGCGUUGUCUCCAUGUUGCCGAGGCACGACGAGGGAAAUAUUUAUACGCAUAGACGGCUGACCCAGUAAAUAGAGCUUAUUUAGCGUCAUUAAUGAAACCAGAGAGUUUCCUCAUAGUGUCUGGAAGUUAUCCACUGUAAUGGUGAAGCUGAGGGCGAGAUGUCUGCUCGUCGGAGAUGCUGCAGUGGGCAAAAGUGCCCUUUCUCAUAUGUUCCAGAGUGAUGGUACUCUCUUCCAGAAGAACUACAGCAUGACAACCGGAGUGCAACUGCUGAUGAAAUGUGUCAACAUCCCAGAGACCAAUGACAGUGUGGAGCUCUACAUCAUAGACUCUGCAGGGAAGGAGACAUUAGUGGAAGCCUGCGAGAAAAUGUGGGGUGAGCCAUCGUUGCUGCUCCUGGUUUUUGACCUGACCAGUGAGCAGUCUUUUGCCAACUGCAGCCGCUGGAUGGAGAGAGUCUGUGCCCACUGCCAGGGUCUCCAUAUUCCAGGUGUCCUGGUUGGCAACAAGUCAGACCUGUCCGCUAGAAGGGAGGUACAGGCAUCCAUGGCCCAGGAAUGGGCCCAGAGCCAGGGGUUGGAGUACCACGAGACCUCAGCCAGGGAGAUGGAGAACUGUGAUGCGCCGCUCCUCAGUUUAGCCCGGGCCUUCCAGUCUCUCUAUCAAGAACGCCGGGAGACCAUCCAGAACCUAAGUCCAGGCUAGACCCCUCCCCACUCGCACACGCACCUUGACUUUUCACCAGUUGGAUAGUAGGCACAGGAUUUCCAUUGAGAGAAUAUAGUGGAGUUUCCUUUCACAGUGACGGUCAGGUCAUUACCAAAACCACAAUAAGACUCCAGCUCAACGUGGAGGAAAAAGCAGAGUCUGUGCCUCUUCUCCUCUAAUCUGCAUGGAUGGCUGUCCCCAAUUUUAGGUGGAACUAAGGUUGAAAAUCACAGUUAUUUAUUGUCUCCUCCCCUCCCCUUUUUAAUGUUUUCCUUUUAUCUCAAUGUCACUUUGAUCUGAGCUUCAUCUCUCUCCUCUCCAUCUCUUUCUCACUUGCUCCAUCUUUGUCUCUGUCUCACUUUCUUUCUCUCUGCUUUUAUCGGUUUCUCCCAGGUUUGUUGCUUUUUGAAAACUCGUCCCUCUCGCUUCCCUCUAGCUGUCUCUUCUCUCUCCAGUUCUGUCUCUCUCUCUCUCUCUCUCUCUCUCUCUCUCUCUC